rnacentral:rRNA from 1 species
GUGCCAGCCGUCGCGGUAAUACGUAGGUGGCAAGCGUUAUCCGGAAUUAUUGGGCGUAAAGCGCGCGCAGGUGGUUUCUUAAGUCUGAUGUGAAAGCCCACGGCUCAACCGUGGAGGGUCAUUGGAAACUGGGAGACUUGAGUGCAGAAGAGGAAAGUGGAAUUCCAUGUGUAGCGGUGAAGUGCGUUGGGAUAUGGGGGAACACAAGUGGGGAAGGCGACGUUCUGGUCUG